GACGAACGCUGGCGGCGUGCUUAACACAUGCAAGUCGAACGGUAAGGCCCUUCGGGGUACACGAGUGGCGAACGGGUGAGUAACACGUGGGUGAUCUGCCCUGCGCUUCGGGAUAAGCCUGGGAAACUGGGUCUAAUACCGGAUAGGACCACUGCUCGCAUGGGGGGUGGUGGAAAGCUUUUGCGGGUUGGGAUGGGCCCGCGGCCUAUCAGCUUGUUGGUAGGGUGAUGGCCGACCAAGGGGACGACGGGUAGCCGGCCUGAGAGGGUGACCGGCCACACUGGGACUGAGGUACGGCCCAGACUCCUACGGGAGGCAGCAGUGGGGAAUAUUGCACAAUGGGCGCAAGCCUGAUGCAGCGACGCCGCGGGAGGGAUUACGGCCUUCGGGUUGUAAGCCUCUUUCAGCACCGACGAAGCGCAAGUGACGGUAGGUGCAGAAGAAGGACCGGCCAACUACGUGCCAGCAGCCGCUGUAA
rnacentral:rRNA from 1 species